rnacentral:rRNA from 1 species
CCUACGGGUGGCAGCAGUGAGGAAUAUUGGUCAAUGGGCGGGAGCCUGAACCAGCCAAGCCGCGUGAGGGAAGAAGGUACAGCGUAUCGUAAACCUCUUUUGUCAGGGAACAAAGGCGGGGACUAGUCCCCGGAUGAGGGUACCUGACUAAGAAGCCCCGGCUUACUACGUGCCAGCAGCCGCGGUAAUACGUAGGGGGCAAGCGUUAUCCGGAUUCACUGGGCGUAAAGGGAGCGCAGGCGGCAUGGCAAGUCUGAGGUGAAAACCCGGGGCCCAACCCCGGGAGUGCAUUGGAAACUGGCAGGCUGGAGUGUCGGAGGGGUAAGCGGAAUUCCUAGUGUAGCGGUGAAAUGCGUAGAUAUUAGGAGGAACACCAGUGGCGAAGGCGGCUUACUGGACUGUAACUGACGUUGAGGCUCGAAAGCGUGGGGAGCAAACAGGAUUAGAUACCCGUGUAGUC